rnacentral:rRNA from 1 species
GAGUUUGAUUCUGGCUCAGGAUGAACGCACAAGACGUGCCUAACACAUGCAAAUCGAAUGAAAAUAAUUAAUUAUUGUUUUCAUGGUGAACGGGUGAGUAACACAUAAGAAUCAGCUUUUAGAUAAGGCAUAAAAGAGUAAUAUCUUGGUAAUUCCUUAUAUGCGCAGCAGUGCUUAAAAAGGGGAGUCCCGUCUAAAAACGAGCUUAUGCCUGAUUAGCUAGUUGGCGAGUUAAAAGCUCACCAAGGCGAAGAUCAGUAGCUGGCCUGAGAGGGCGGCCAGCCACAUUGGGACUGAGACACGGCCCAAACUCCUACGGGAGGCAGCAGUGGGGAAUCUUCUGCAAUGGGCGCAAGCCUGACAGAGCGGCGUCGUGUGAAGGAAGAAGGCCUGAAAUAGGUUGUAAACUUCUUUUACUGAGUAAUGAAUAAUGACAACGCAGUAAAAAAGUAUCGGCUAACUCCGUGCCAGCAGCCGCGGUAAUACGGGGGAUGCAAGCGUUAUCCGGAAUAACUGGGCGUAAAGCGUCUGUAGGUGGUUUAGUGUGUUCUUAGUUAAAUUCUGAAGCCUAACUUCAUGAAAAGUAAGAAAACUAUUAGACUUGAGUACGAUAGGGGUAAGAGGAAUUCUUCGAGAAGUAGUGAAAUGCGAAGAUACGAAGGAGAAGAUCAUAAGCGAAGGCUUCUUACUGGGUCGUAACUGACACUGAGAGACGAAAGCUAGGGGAGCGAAUGGGAUUAGAUACCCCAGUAGUCCUAGCUGUAAACGAUGGAUAUUCGGUGCCGGAAAUUUUAUUAGAACAUUUCGGUACCCUAGCUAACGCGUUAAAUAUCCCGCCUGAGGAGUACGCUCGCAAGGGUGAAACUCAAAGGAAUUGACGGGGGCUCGCACAAGCGGUGGAGCAUGUGGUUUAAUUCGAUGCAAAGCGAAGAACCUUACCAGGGCUUGACAGUAUGUAU